CCCUUCCGGGUACACUAGUGGGGAAAGGGUGAGUAACACGUGGGUAAUCUGCCCUGCGCAUCUGGAUAUACCUGGGAAACUGGGUCUAAUACCGAAGAGGACCCCUUAACACAUGUCCUGUGGUGGAAAGCUUUUGCGGUGUGGGAUGGGCCCGCGGCCUAUCAUCUUGUUGGUGGGGUGAUGGCCCACCAAGGCGACGACGGGUAGCCGGCCUGAGAGGGUGUCCGGCCGCCCUGGGACUGAUAUACUGCCCACACUCCUACGGGAGGCAGCAGUGGGGAAUAUUGCACAAUGGGCGAAAGCCUGAUGCAGCGACGCCGCGUGGGGGAUGACGGCCUUCGGGUUGUAAACCUCUUUCACCAUCGACGAAGGUUCGGGUUUUCUCGGAUUGACGGUAGGUGGAGAAGAAGCACCGGCCAACUACGUGCCAGCAGCCGCGGUAAUACGUAGGGUGCGAGCGUUGUCCGGAAUUACUGGGCGUAAAGAGCUCGUACGUGGUUUGUCGCGUUGUUCGUGAAAUCUCACGGCUUAACUGUGAGCGUGCGGGCGAUACGGGCACACUUGAGUACUGCAGGGAUACACUGGAAUUCCUGGUGUAGCGCUGGUAUGCGCAGAUAUCACGAGGAACACCGGUGGUCUAUGCGGGUCUCUGGACACUAACUGACGCUGACGAGCGAAAGCGUGAGGAGCGAACACGAUGAUAUACCCUGGUAGUCCACGCCGUAAACAGGUGGGUACUAUGUGUGGGUUUCCUUCCUUGCGAUCCGUGCCCGUAUCUAACGCACUAAGUACGCACGACUGGCGGAGUACGACGACUCGCUAGAAACUCACAGAAAUUCGACGGGGCCCGGCAAAACGGCGGAUCAUGUGAAUUAACUCGAUGCAACUCGAAGAGCUUACUGCAUUGACAUGCACAGACGUCUGCGUACAUGUCGGUUCUCUUGUGGCUGUGUGCAGUGUGCACGCUGUCGUCAGCUCAUGUCGUGAUAUGUCGGCUAAGUCCGCA
rnacentral:rRNA from 1 species